GUCAAUAACCACCGUCCAAAUGAGCGUUGCUCACUUGGGCGAGGCUUGUAAUCGAAACAGCUCCUGUAGCUGGGGACGUUACAAAACCGAUUGAUUAGCCGCUGUCAGAUGCCUUCGGGCAUUUGGCAGAGCCGUUAUCCUGGAAAACAUAGGUACCAGUGGAUGCUCCACAAGUCCACUGCUCUACGGCUGCGGAUUAAACAUCUCUGAGGGAAAGGAGAAGUGUCCGCAGCAGAUACAACCCAGGAAUAACAGCGGCGAUGUGGACCAC
rfam:Firmicutes bacterium CAG:424 genomic scaffold, scf32